GCAAACAGCUGGUGGAGAGUGGUGCCGCCAUUUUUGCCUCAACCAUAAGCGACAUUGAAACUGCUGCAGACAAGUGUGAGGAGAUGGAGGAAGGCUACAUCCAGUGCUCCCAGUUUCUAUAUGGAAAGCUGCAGCUAGAAAAUGGUCUUAAUGGUGCUCACUUUAGCAGACAGCGUCCACAAUGUGAAUCCUACAGUUUCCAGGAGCCUCUGUAUGGAAACAUGUCCAGUGUUGCUGCCCAGUGUGUAUGCCUCCCAGUACCCACUCUGCUCGGCCGCCUUGGGGGUUCCGCUUCCUGUUCCAGUUCACCUAAAGGCUGAUUGUGCAGGCCCAGCACUGUGGCUGGACUGCCGCGCCACGGGCACCAGGACCCCUAAGACCAAGUGACAACUGGGAGAGCCUCAGCAUAUACUCUUCUCCUCCGAUCUCACAGCCUGUCAUGCUGCUCAGUGUGGUUCUCACCCCUGCAAGCUCAAAUUCAGUUCCCUGAAUGGAGUCAGACUCACUGAUGCAGCACUGUAGCCCAUCACCUUGGAGCACUGACUGUACAUAGUGUGGUGAAGAAAAGUGAACGCCCUUGUAGAGCAGCCCGACCACAGGAGCAUGGCCGCUGCCAGCCCAGACGCUGCUGACGCUGUGUAAAUGUGCACAAUAAACCCGUCUCACCCCGG
rnacentral:lncRNA from 10 species